rnacentral:tRNA from 2 species
GGGGCUAUAGCGCAGUUGGUAGCGCACCUCAAUGGCAUUGAGGGGGUCUCCGGUUCGAGUCCGGAUAGCUCCA